rnacentral:rRNA from 1 species
AGGUAAAUCCGGUUCACUUUAACACUGAGGCGUGACGACGAGGCACUACGGUGCUGAAGCAACAAAUGCCCUGCUUCCAGGAAAAGCCUCUAAGCAUCAGGUAACACGAAAUCGUACCCCAAACCGACACAGGUGGUCAGGUAGAGAAUACCAAGGCGCUUGAGAGAACUCGGGUGAAGGAACUAGGCAAAAUGGUGCCGUAACUUCGGGAGAAGGCACGCUGACACGUAGGUGAAGUGAUUUACUCAUGGAGCUGAAGUCAGUCGAAGAUACCAGCUGGCUGCAACUGUUUAUUAAAAACACAGCACUGUGCAAACACGAAAGUGGACGUAUACGGUGUGACGCCUGCCCGGUGCCGGAAGGUUAAUUGAUGGGGUCAGCGCAAGCGAAGCUCCUGAUCGAAGCCCCGGUAAACGGCGGCCGUAACUAUAACGGUCCUAAGGUAGCGAAAUUCCUUGUCGGGUAAGUUCCGACCUGCACGAAUGGCGUAAUGAUGGCCAGGCUGUCUCCACCCGAGACUCAGUGAAAUUGAACUCGCUGUGAAGAUGCAGUGUACCCGCGGCAAGACGGAAAGACCCCGUGAACCUUUACUAUAGCUUGACACUGAACAUUGAGCCUUGAUGUGUAGGAUAGGUGGGAGGCUUUGAAGUGUGGACGCCAGUCUGCAUGGAGCCGACCUUGAAAUACCACCCUUUAAUGUUUGAUGUUCUAACGUGGACCCGUAAUCCGGGUUGCGGACAGUGUCUGGUGGGUAGUUUGACUGGGGCGGUCUCCUCCUAAAGAGUAACGGAGGAGCACGAAGGUUGGCUAAUCCUGGUCGGACAUCAGGAGGUUAGUGCAAUGGCAUAAGCCAGCUUGACUGCGAGCGUGACGGCGCGAGCAGGUGCGAAAGCAGGUCAUAGUGAUCCGGUGGUUCUGAAUGGAAGGGCCAUCGCUCAACGGAUAAAAGGUACUCCGGGGAUAACAGGCUGAUACCGCCCAAGAGUUCAUAUCGACGGCGGUGUUUGGCACCUCGAUGUCGGCUCAUCACAUCCUGGGGCUGAAGUAGGUCCCAAGGGUAUGGCUGUUCGCCAUUUAAAGUGGUACGCGAGCUGGGUUUAGAACGUCGUGAGACAGUUCGGUCCCUAUCUGCCGUGGGCGCUGGAGAACUGAGGGGGGCUGCUCCUAGUACGAGAGGACCGGAGUGGACGCAUCACUGGUGUUCGGGUUGUCAUGCCAAUGGCACUGCCCGGUAGCUAAAUGCGGAAGAGAUAAGUGCUGAAAGCAUCUAAGCACGAAACUUGCCCCGAGAUGAGUUCUCCCUGAGACUUAGAGUCUCCUGAAGGAACGUUGAAGACGACGACGUUGAUAGGCCGGGUGUGUAAGCGCAGCGAUGCGUUGAGCUAACCGGUACUAAUGAACCGUGAGGCUUAACCUUACA